AGUUUUUUCUUCCCCAAUAAAAAGAUAACAAUAACUCUCAACUAUUUAAACUUCAAAGAGAGAUAAUAGAGGCAGAACAGAUAUGGCGUUGGUUGAAUAUUUAGGGCAGAACAAUGAAAUCAAAACAAGAAACUUUAUUUUCUCAGAAUUAAUUCACUGACAAAUUGAGAAAAGCUGGUAUUGGGAGUUUGGGACUGGAUUUUGCCACCAGGUGCAAAGAACUCGGACACCGCAGAAUGACAACAAAAAAGAAAAGGAUUCAGCAAUAUAGAAGAAACUAGACAAGCUAGAUAACAACGCAAAAGACAAUUAAUCAAAUCUUCGAUUCCUCUUUCUUUCAGAAAGCCAUAAAAAAGCCAUUGUAGAAUGAAAAAGAGACGAGAGGAUG